GUACGGGAGGCAGCAGUAAGGAAUAUUGCGCAAUGGGCGAAAGCCUGACGCAGCGACGCCGCGUGGGGGAUGAAGGUCUUCGGAUUGUAAACCCCUUUCGGGAGGGAAGAUGGGAUGGGGUAACCCAUUCGGACGGUACCUCCAGAAGCAGCCACGGCUAACUUCGUGCCAGCAGCCGCGGUAAUACGAAGGUGGCAAGCGUUGUUCGGAUUUACUGGGCGUACAGGGAGCGUAGGCGGUUGGAUAAGCCCUCCGUGAAAUCUCCAGGCUUAACCUGGAAAGUGCAGAGGGGACUGUUCAGCUAGAGGAUGGGAGAGGAGCGCGGAAUUCCCGGUGUAGCGGUGAAAUGCGUAGAGAUCGGGAGGAAGGCCGGUGGCGAAGGCGGCGCUCUGGAACAUUUCUGACGCUGAGGCUCGAAAGCGUGGGGAGCAAACAGGAUUAGAUACCCUGGUAGU
rnacentral:rRNA from 1 species